GAAGGGUAGUAGCUUAAUGAUAGAGCACCUGCCUUUCAAGCAGAAGAUCACAUCUUCAAUCCCUGGUAUCUUCA